CCCUCUCCUUCUUGAACGCCACUUGCUUGGCUUUCUCAGCCGGCGGCAGCGACCACUACAACAAGACCCCCCUAUACCAACGUAUGUCUAGCAACGAUAUAACAGGAUGUGUUGUUUUACCGGGGAAAAAAAAUAAUGCGUUGUUCCCACUUUCCACAAGCGCUAACCUCCCCGUGCCCACACCUCCACCUCUUGCGCAGGAAGCGUGUUCCUAUUCUCCCGUCGUUUUGGCCUUCAUCCUAAGUGAGAGACGCACCUACAGCAGCUAGGGUUCCAACCACUGUCGUCCUUUGCCCUCAACCGCCUCCCCUGUUCCCUCGGUACGUUUAAGAGCCUCCGCCAAGCCCUCCUCCCUCACCAGUUUCUCCACGCGUCGGGGACGCACUCGACGUCGUCGCCCAUCCUCCUCGCGUUGGGGAACGCAUCGCCGCCGUUGUUUCAUCCGCAUGACCGGAGAUGCAGACGCCGGCGUUGUUCAUGCACAAUCCACACAGCCAGGAAGGACGCAAGCACCGACGCCCCCGUCUUCCUCACACUGCAAUAGUUCAGCAGGAUUCUUCUACCCCAAACGAUGAACAAGAGAUGAUUUCUGCAGAGAGACAACAAGUUCAGAACCUGUAUGGUUUGCUAAGGAAAUGACCAUAAUUUCGUGGUCAACCAAAAAGGCAUCUAUUCUUCAUCCCUUGAUCUCCCAGCUAGAGUUGGGGUAACCAAUUCUUAGUUUUUAAUUCAUGAUGGUUCUAAUUCACUUACAUUCAAGCCUCGUAAUGCUACUUUUAAGAGCCUCAUAACAAUCAGUUAAGUGUAAGACAAAAACCAUGUAGAAAAGCCAGUUCAACAACCUUUUUCACCAAGCUUAUACUUGAAUGGGCUGAUGCAUGUAGAUGUGAUAUGUAAUUCUAGUAAGAUGGGAACAUGAUGAUUGAUGUUUCAAGUCAUGAUAAUGCAUAGGGACUCGAGGCGUGGUUUGAGGCAGCAGUUAACCAUACAAUUUUCACGAAGAAUGAUUGUGUACAUUUUUACUCAAUACUCGUUUCUUGUGAUGCAUUAGGUUUUAAUUUUCUUGCUGCUAUGUGUGUGGAUCAAUCCUUACUCAUUUUCAUGCCGCUUGUGGUCUGAGUCCUUGUCGCUGCUUGGGGUGACGCUGCAAGAUCAGACGGAAACCUGACUUAUUAUGGUAGGCUCAGUCUCGUAUGUUCUUUUACCCCGCAGCUAAUCAAUUAUUCUGUGAUGUCCUCUCUUGUAUUCUAAUUAUGGUAUGCUCUUGUCUAUACUAAUUAGAUCAUGCAUUCCUUCAAGGUCAAGUCAGGGGCUCAGGGUAGACAGUUCAUAGUUUUCUUGCUGUUUCGUCUUUCUGUGUGUUAGUUCAUUAUGCACGUCUUCUUUCUAUGCAUGUGUUGAUAACUCCAGUUGUUCCAAUCUGAUGAUGCUUUUCUUUCGUGUUGUUGCUUCUGCAGGUUCUGAGAAUUUUACAUGGAUCAGGAAAUUCUAAUGUUUGACUUUGUAGUACUCAGGUAACAAUGACGUUUUGUGUAAUGUAGAUUAUUUAAAGAUUUUUGAUUUGAUAGCACUGAGAUUCUCCUAAUACACCAUAGCAAGAAUGACUAAUAAAUCGUCCCAAUAAUGGGUAGUAUAGGAGUGAUGUGCCCCAAAGCUAAUUAGUGCAGAGACCAUUGGAAAAUAGAAACAUUGAAUUAUGUAUAGUUGGUGUAACUAGUCACCUAGAAUACUUAUCAUUUAGUCGGUUGCUGAAUUCAUCUCUCUAUUAAUAUUAAUAUAAUUUUGGAUAAUUUUUGGUAGUAAAUACAAGCUGAUGGUUGUUCACAAUGAAUAGCUACAUACGAUUGGUCAAAGGUAGUCGGUGUUUUAAUACAUAGUUUUUAUCUGAAAGAGCCAUGGGUAUUCAGAACAUGUGCAUGACAAUUAGGAGAGAAAUAGAAUGUCCUCGGUUUACAAAGUAAGGGUGAAGACCCGGAGUCUCUGUGUUUGUACUUCAUAGCAUGGCAAUCACCCUUUCGCUAGCGCGUAUUUUGUUAUUUCUUUACAGAACGAUGCUACUGAUGUUGCAAGUAUCUGCACUUUCCACUUCUGCAUUUUAGUCUUGUAGAUGUUUUUAUAACCAGAUUAUUAAUUAUCCCACCUCUAUGUACAAAUCUAAGUUUUGGUAAAAAACAUUUGUACGGUGCUCCUUUAAAUUUUACUUCUCUAUUAAUCUAAUUUACUUUACUAUAAUUGCUCGCCUCAUAUUGUUAUUUUGUAGAUUACCAAGAUAAAUCGAGGAUGCAUGACUCAGAUUUUGAUUGCUAGGCUAAGAAGAUUUUCAGUCCGAGGCAAAUAAUUCGGCUACAAGUCAAUUAGAAUGUAAUUUUUAGUAUCAAUGUUACAAACAUUAUAGUUGAUGGCAAGGUCAAGAAUUGGCCUACUACUAGAUAGUUUCACCUCUUGUAAUCUUUGGACCAUGUUCUUUGUAAUGCCACAUAUUUGAUUUAA